rnacentral:rRNA from 1 species
AACACUGAGCUUUUAGACGAGGGAAUAAGUUAGCCAGCAUCAAGGACGAACGAUAGAGAGUCCUUUGACGUCGUUAAAAAGUGUGCUAACACAGAGUUGUCUGAAUGUUGAGUGUUGAAUAUCUGAUUAGUGGCGGACGGGUGAGUAACGCGUGGGGAACCUGCCCUAUACAGGGGGAUAGCCUCGGGAAACCGGGAUUAAUACCCCCAUAAAACUCUAGUAUCGCAUGAUACGUGAGUCAAAGCUGAGGCGGUAUAGGAUGGCCCCGCGUCUGAUUAGCUAGUUGGUGAGGUAACGGCUCACCAAGGCGACGAUCAGUAGCCGGCCUGAGAGGGUGGACGGCCACACUGGAACUGAGACACGGUCCAGACUCCUACGGGAGGCAGCAGUGGGGAAUAUUGCACAAUGGGGGAAACCCUGAUGCAGCGACGCCGCGUGAGCGAAGAAGGCCUUCGGGUCGUAAAGCUCUGUCCUAAGGGAAGAAAAGGACGGUACCUUAGGAGGAAGCCCCGGCUAACUACGUG